GGUAUUUUGACUAUACGAAGGUAUUGAAAUAAGGCUUUAAUUGGGUGCUAAGAGAAUGGUUGAACAAAGAUUAACUUUCUUUUUAUUUAUAAUAGAAUUUGAUUUAAAAAUGAAAAAGUUUUUAUAAAAAUUUGGGACAAGAAGACCCUAUGAAUUUUUUUUAUAAUUUUAUUUAUAAUUUUUGAUUAAUGGAGUUAAAUGGAGUUUUAAAUUGGUUGGGGUGAUUUUUAAAGAAUGUUUAUCUUUAAAAGUAGGGACUAGAACCAGGAUUCUUGGUUGAUUGAGUAAAAUACUCUAGGGAUAACAGCGUUAUUAUUUUGGAUAGUUCAUAUAGAUAAAAUAGUUUGCGACCUCGAUGUUGGAUUAAGAUACUUUUUUAAUGUAGUCGUUAAAGGAAGGAGUUUGCUCAACUUUUGAAAUCUU
rnacentral:rRNA from 1 species